ensembl:lncRNA
AUCUCAAAAGCAUAAAGCAAACAAUCUCAUUAUAAAAUAGAUAGGUGAUCUGAACAGACAUUUCUCACUUGAUCUUAGCCAAAGGCCUAGAAACAAUGAACAAUCAUUUGUCAAAAGAAGACAUACAAAUCUCCAGUAAAUGUAUGAAAAAUCAUUAAAACUAAACAUCAAAACCUCAAUGAGGUAUUAUCUCAGUCAGGAUGAUGACUAUCAAAAAGAGGAAAAAAAAAAAAAAAAGAAGACAAAAAAUACAACCAAACAAAAAGCAACAUGUGGGCACAUCAAACUUAAGACAAACCUCUUAAAGGUAGCCAUGCAAAAAAAGAGAUCACUUUUGAAGAGGAAAAAUAAAAAAGGACAUAAUGUCUCAUAAGAUAUAAUGGAAGCCAGAAGGAAUAAAAUCUAUCUUUGAAAUGAUAAAACAGCUGCUUAUUCAGCAAAAAGGUUCUUAGAAAAUGAAAGUAAAAUACGACAGUUUCAGGAGAGAAAAUCUGAAAGAAUUUGUUACCAGUAGACAUAUAAAGAUAUAUUAAAGUAUGUCUUCAAGAAGAAGAAAUAAGAUUUCAGAUGGAAGCUCAGAUUCCAGGAACCACAAAACACAAUAAAAGUAAAUCUUUGGGAAAUUGCAUAUUGAAUAAAAAACAAUAAUGAGAAUAAUAAAAUAAUAAAAAUUUAUUCUCAAAAUUUAAAUUCUUUAAAUAAUGAGAAUUUAAAAAUAAAAAAAUGAAAAUUUAGGAAAUACAUAUUAAGAAUAUACAAAGUAUGUAAUAUGGAGUGUGGAAGUAAAUGAAGUGUUCUCAGGUCCUUACAUUGUCCUGGAAGAAGUAUAAUACCAAAUUACCUUAGAAGAUGAUAAACCCAAGUUCCAUGUUUUAAUACCUGAGGUGAAUAGUUAAAAAAGAAAAUAAAAGAUAUCUGUCAAGCUUUGGGGUAGGAAAAAUGGAAUAAUUAAAAAUAAUCUAAAAGGUCUACAGCCAUACCACCCUGAAUAUGCUGUUCUCAUCUGAUCUGAGAAGCUAAGCAGGGUUGGGGCUGUUUGGCAGUUGGAUCAGAGUCUCCCUCGGAAUACCAGAUGUUACAGGCUGAAUUCAAAAAGAAAUCCAAAAGGCAAAAGAGCAAAUGAACCUAGGAGAGGUGGGACAAAUAAAAAAGGAACAAGGAAAAAUUUAAAUCCAAAUAUGUUAGUAAUUAUGUUACAUGUAAUCAGACUAGAUACUCCAAUUAAAAAACAAAUUACCAAAGUGGAUUUUAAAAAUGUAUUUUAUCACUCUUUGUAUUAAAAUGUUCUAAUUUUUUUUCCAUUUGCACAAAGAAUAAAGUCUAAAUUCUUUCCUAUCUUUCAAAGGUAACAUGAUCUAGCCCUUUCCUAUGCCUCUAAAGUUACAGUAUUCUCCUGUUAAGUCACUAUGCUCUAAUCACAAAGGCCUUCUUUUGUCUCCUGAAGUAUUCUAAGCUAGAUCAUGCCUUAGAUUCUUUGCACUGUUGUCCUUUCUUGCAAGCAACGGUUUCCCCGAGUUUUACAUAGCAGCUUACAUGGUACUUUAUUUUCCUUAAUCACCUAAUCUAAAAUAGUCAUGUUUGAAUUUCAUGCCUAGUACUUACCAUUAUCUUCUAUUUUUGUUAAUUUAUGAUUUAUUGCUACUAAAAUGAAAAUUUCCUCAUAGAAGAGAAAAUAUCUGCUUUAUUUACUAUUUCCUCAAGAGUGUAGAAGAGUGACUGAUACAGUUUGAUAUUCAAAAAAUAUUUAAUGAAUGAAUAAAGCUAAUUAAAGUUUUAAACAGAUAGAUACUUUCAGAUGGUUUUGUCUUUUUAUUGCUCUUGGUGGCACUGGUUGCUUAAAGACUUUCUUGAUGCCAAAAAGUAUCAAAUGGAGUCAAGUUCCCAUUAUGUAUGUUAGUGGUCCUUGAAAAUGUGCAUUGUACAAUCUGUGUAAAAUUGCAAGAAAUAUUUCACCAAUUAAUCAGACAUGUGGCAUAUUCCUAAACAUAACUGUGGUAAGCUACAUGAAAAUAAAACUUCAGAGGAAGUCUACUGAAUUGUUAAAGGUUGCAGUGUACUUCAGAAUAACAUUUAAAACAUUUUUUUCCAACCUGAAAGAUGACAGUAAUAUAGUGAAUGUUAAAAAGCAUAAUGUAAUGUUGAAAAAAAACAAAAAAUCAUAUUUAUUUAUUUAUUUACUUUUGAGAUGAAGUCUUGCUCUGUCAUACAGGCUGGAGUACAGUGAUGCAAUCACAGAUCACUGCAACCUCUGCUUCCCAGGUCCAAUCCUAUCACCUCAGCCUCCCAAGUAGGCGGGUGAGACUACAGGGGUGUGCUACCAUGCCCAGCUAAUUUUUCUAUUUUUUGUAGAGAUGGGGUUUUGUCAUGCUGGUCAGGCUGGUCUUCCUGACCUCAAAUGAUCUGCCCAACUCGGCCUCCCAAAGUGCUGGGAUUACUGGCAUGAGCCACUAUGCUCAGUGUUAAGAUUAAAAAAAAAAAAAAACAAACCCAAUAUAGAAAAGCUGUUUUAGAGAGUCAAUGCUAGCAGUGGUGACUGAUAUAUUUUGGUUACUUUUUACUCUCUGUGCUUAGGAUUUUUUUCAUGUCAAAGCAAUCAUACUGGGCACAAUUUUGGAUCCUGCUAUCUUAAUCUGGGCUGGUAUAACCUAAGUACCAUAAACCGGGUGACUUAAACAACAGAAAUUUAUUUCUCACAGUUCUGGAGGCUGGGAAAUCAGAGAAGAGAGUGCUAGCAUGAUUGGCACAAAUCAGGCCCCCUUCCUAAUGUGUAGUUAGUUGUCUGUUUUCUUGUAUCCUCACAUUGUGAAGAGCAAGAAAGAGGGGAAGCAACCUGUCUAGUGUCUAUUCUUGUAAAGGCACUAAUUUCAUGAGGGCUUCACCCUCAUUACUUAAUUGUCCCCCAAAGGCCCCACCUUCUAUCAUGUCAUUGGGGAUUAGGGUUUCAACAUAUGAAAUUUUGUGUGGAGGGAGGGAGGACACAAACAUGCAGUCUAUAUACGCUUCUUAGUUUUUUGAGACAAGAUCUUGCUCUGUUGCCUAGGCUGGAGUGCAGUGAUGUGACCUCAGUUUACUGCAGCGUCUACCUCUUAGUCCCAAGUGAUCAGCUCACCUCGGUCUCCUGAGUAGCUGAAAUUACCAGCACAAACAUCACAGUCAGCUAAUUUUUAAAUUUUUGUAGAGAUGAGGUCUCACUAUAUUGCCUAGGCUAGUCUCUAACUCCUGUGCUCCAGUGAUCCUCCCACCUCAGCCUCCCAAAGUGCUGUGGUAACAGUAGUGAGUCAUUGUGCCUGGCCUAAAACGCUCUUUUAACUUAGAAAAUAAACAUUUUCCAUUAGAAAGACUAGUUCAGUGGCUUUUUAAAAGAGCUAGAUAAUAUUCCACUAAACAUAUAACAAUUGAUCAAACUUAUUAUUGUACGUAAUACUGCAACAAACUUUUUACCAUUGUAGGUAUUACUACAAAUAACAUCUUUGCCGUAAAGCGCUUUAAGGGCAAUUUAAACGUUUACAACAUUCAUUCAAAUUAUAUUUCUUAAGGGAAAGGCAGGAAAACAAAACAAGGUCCCAGCUCUGGCAGAAUUUAUAGUCUAAUUAGGAAAACAGUAUAUGUUAGGGAAAAAAAAAAAAAAUUACAAUGAAAGCAUAUGACACACUUGUUCAGAAAAAGCAGAAAUGUCUUAAAGGAAAAACUAAUAACAUUUUGCAAAAAAGUAUGGCCUGAAUUGCAAAAAAGUUAUAUUAUCUUAAUGGCUGAAAGAGUUCCAGGUCACUGUGGGUAGCGUAACUUUUUGUUGGUCUUGAAAGCACUUGAGAAUCGUUCUCACUCAGGACAUUUCGACUGAUGAUAAAGCCCUAAAGGAAGCAACCAAGACUUUCUCAAAGAUUAUGCUCCUAAUUUCCUUGCUGAAACUACUGAAUUUCUUUUACUCUCCAUCUUCUAUUUUUUCUUCCCUUUCAUUAUUGUCCCCUUUGUAACUUUGUUAAAGAUACCCACUUAUUUUAAGUAAUGGAAAUGGAAAUUAUUCUACUUUAAGGCAGGCAACCAAUAGAUAGCAAUAUUAUUCUACAAAAUAAGAAAGACUGGAUGGCACUACCUUAAAACAUAUAUGCAUUUUAAGCAUUAAAAAGAUUUUUCAAAUGUAAUAUAGAAAUGUGUGAAACAGAACGUUAAAGAAUAUUAACCAAGAAUUAUUUAUCAACUUGCCAUACACCAAAUAAGGAACACAGAACUC